AGCAGCCGCGGUAAUUCCAGCUCCAAUAGCGUAUAUUAAAGUUGUUGCAGUUAAAAAGCCGUAGUUGAAUUUCGGGGGUAACAGUUGCGGUCAUGCUGGGUCCGAUUGCCCGGUUCAACGGGGGUAAAUGCAAUGGCUUGGUCGUCCAGGCUUGCAAAUUUUCCCCUUCCCCAUCCCUUUCUGGGAAAGGAAAACCCGUGCUGGAAUUGGCCAUU
rnacentral:rRNA from 1 species